AGGGGUGAAAAAGAGGCAAGCCAAGAAACAUACUCUUAACUGUUGAGAACAGAGGUUGGUGUGGGGGAUGGGUGAAAUAAGUGAUGGGGAUUAAGGAGUGCAUUUGUCAUGAUGACCAUUGGUGAUGUAUGGAUUUGGUUGACGGACUAUAUUGUACACCUGAAACUAAUAUAACACUGUAUAUUAACUAUACUGGAAUUAAAAUUAAAAAAAUAUAAAAUUCACGUGGAAGAGUAGAGAGCCAACAAUAGCCAAAACCAUUAUAUAGCUUCAUAAUACAUGCUAGGGAACGUCUCCUCACUUUGUACAUACCUCAGUCAAUGGUAAACUGCCUUACUAGAAUUAACUUUGAAGAAGAAUCACAAUAAGCAGUGUUAUGCAGCAACACAGAGACCCAGUCAUAGAUCCACACAAACAGAACCUGGAAAUAUGAAGGUUGUAUUCCACACAAGGGAAAAAGCAUAGGUUCUCUGAUAAUGAGUGUAACUGACAUGUAAAAAGAUUUGGACUCUGAUCUUUUUGAUCUUUUGAAAAAGGUUUUUACAAAGCCUGUAUCUGACAGCUUAUAUUUUAUUAUAGUGUUCACUGUUGCACGGAAGUUUAUUUUCAUUAUUAAAUUUAAUAUAAAAAAACUAUCUUAUUUCAAGGUAGGGAAGGAUUUCUAAAAUAAGGCACAAGAAACACCAAAAAAAAAAAAAAAGAAUAAGAAAAAAAGAAAGAAAGAAACAGCAACUAAGGAAAACAUUCCCGUGUUCUUAGAGUAAAUAGAUGGCAAUAGGCAGAAAGGAAAAGUACUGGCACGAAAAGUAAUAUCCAGGGUAGGAAGAAACCCAGACCCCUUUGCUCCUAAGGGCAACAAUUCAUACCCAGGAGUGAUGAUGAUUUUAACCCAUUUGACCCUGGUAACUUAACCUACUAGAAGCUAGGCCCAUGAAAAUACACAAAACUAAAAUGAUAAUAUGGGAUGAAUCAGAGUCACUGAAGAGAGCUUUACUAGACAAAAAAAACAAAAACUAAAACCAAAAAAAAAAACACCAAAAAAUUGGAAUGGAGUUCCAACAAACUGAUUUGGACACAGAAACCCAGUGAAUAUUAGAUUCAUGGCCCAAAAGAAGACAAAACUUUAUUCUCACAGGAGCAGGUGUUAUGCAACUUGGAUCCAUUACCACUUGACACCUUUGAAUAUUUGGAGAAAAAAUACUGAUUUACGAAGAUCUGUGAUUAGCAGCAACCUGGAGAUUAAGAUGGCCUCUACCUAAUAUAUUUAUCCCUAAAAGAAUAUUCAUUGAGAACAGGAGAAUCUACUAAUAUAAUAAUAAAAUUAGGAUUAUUAACUGUGAUUCAUGAUAGGGGACACCCUCACCAAUAUAUGUGGAAGCAACAGAAAAAAAUUGAAAAGAUCAGUUUAAAAGCUGAGCCCCCAUAGGACAGAAAAGCAUUAUAGUAUUUGCAGGUUCCAGAAACAAAGGAUAACUGAUUGAUUUGAUAAGAACAGCUGAGGAACUAAGUCAAAAUAAAGGCUUUAACACUCAUGUUUAUCAACAAAACAGGCCUACACCUAAUGUACAUAGAUGCAAUCAAAAUAGGUCAUUUAGAACUAAAUAUGCAAGACCCAUUUGGCCACCUAAGCCAUUUAGACUACCACUCUUUAUAACAAAUUAUGAAGAUAGAAACCCAAAGAGAAACCCCAGAAAAUAUGCAUGUGCAGUGUCAGAGAAAUGGAAACAACCACCUUUUAGAGUAAAUAGACCUAAGAAAAAUAAACCUACAUAUAGACCCACUGGCCCAUUUAUUGUGAAUAGUUACCCCAUUUAAAAAACUUAAUUCUAUUAAUAGACAAGCCAUUGGUAGCCAGAGGAGAGCAACCCCCCUAGAGUCUGGGCAGUCUCUGUCUCUUGGCCCAAGCUGGUGACAGUCACUCAAGUUAUACUGGCCAUUUCAAUAGAAACCACUUCAUAAGUAAAAAUGCUACAUAUAUCACUAUGUUGUUAGAUAUAGGGUUCUAAGUACCAUUAUACUAGGCUAUCCUACUAAUUUAGAAAACUUUAACAAUAAAAAGGAAUUAGUUGAAGGAUUAAGGUGAAAAUUAACCCCAGGGACAAUGGUACAUAGAUUCCUAACAAUGUGAUAGAUCACUCAUUAUGGAUAAAUGCCUUAUUGGUCCCGAUUUAGAAAACAUUCUUGGACUAGAUGUAAUAGGACAUAUAAAAAUUAAGAGAAACAUUCAGGAACCCCUAAAGGAACAAAUUAUCAUCCCUAUAUUUUGCGAUUAACAAUCCAAUCUGGCCUGUUAAAAAGCCAGAUGGAUAAUAUAGACUUACAGUAGAUUAGAAGAAGUUAAACAAAUACUCUCUCCAAAUUGAGGAAGUACUCCUAGAUUUAGGCAUUAUCCUAAUCAGUAUCAUCACUGGAUUGGGAACUUAUUACAUGGUGAUAGACUUAUCUGACAUGUUCUUUGCUAUUCUAACCGAUGAGGAGAGCCAGUCCAUGACUGCAUUCAUUGGGAAGGCAGACAAUAUCAGUUUACUAGGUUACCACAAGAUUAACACAAGAGACCAGUAAUAGCCCACAACUUUCUAACACAAAACAUCCAGGUUUUUCAGGAAAACAACACACACAAACCAGCAUUUCCUAUAUUGAUGACACAUUUACUUGUGGUGAUAACUUGGAAAAACAGACUAGAGUCACUACAGAAUUAAUUGAAAUCUUUACACUCACAGGAUGGACAACUGACCAAAGUAACAUACAGGGACACUACACUAAAAUUUCUAGGUCUUCUGAAGGCAGAAUAUAUGAGACCCAGUCACAGACAAGCUAGAUUGCACUUCAUUUGUACCACAAAAUCAGCAGCUCAGAAACUGAUAGGACUUUUUGGAUAUUGGAAAUAGCACAUACCAUAUCUGAAGAUAUUAAAACAUAUUUUUUGAAAUAAAUAGGAAUAGUAGGGCAUUUAGAUGGAGACCCAUGAGGCAGUCUUUAUUUCAAAAAUGCUGUCAGAACUUAUAAUACCAUCUCAUGAGGGCUCUGGAUAUAAACCAGAGUGCCUAUACUCACAAGGGUUUGGACUAAAACACCACUAUGGACUAAAACACCACAGGACCCCCAAAUAUUACCCAACUGUAUUUUGGACUAAGAAGUUCCUGUGGUCCAACAACAGGCACCAACCAAUUAAGGGCUCACCCAGGUACUCUAUGAGCCCUACAAAAUUCAGAACCACUGACAGAAAGUAAACUAAUUACACCUAAGCUACAACAGCCUAUUCUGGAAUGGGUAAAGCAGACCCCUGACCAUAAAGUCCUAACCUGGAAAUGGUAUAUUUCCAAGCAGGACAAGCAGAUUGAGGGUCAGCUUUGUGUGAACUGAGAAAAUCUCCACUAUGCCAAUAGUGGACUUGCCAGAAUUCCUGAGGGCAAGCCUAUCCACGCUCCAGCAGUUGGGCAAUGGGGACUGCCCUGGUCCCUGGCACCCAGUAAUGCCUGGUUCAUACACGGAUCAGCCUCCAUGACACCAUCUGGAGAAUGCUGGCAGCCAGUGGCCUUGAGGACUAAUGAUGGUCUAACUCUGACAGAUUCAGGCUUGAGAAAAUCAGCACAAUAUGCUGAAUUAAUGGCCAUAAAACUAACUGAUGAACAAUCUGUUAAAGAAAAUCAGAAUGACCUGUAUCUUUCUCAGACCCAUGGGAAAUAGCUGUUGGAAUAGCUCUUUGGUCGGGAACAUGGUAGGGAAAUGACUGGAAAAUAGGAAAUAUGAACAUAUAGAGUAAGGAUAUGGCAGAAAAUAGCACUGGCUGACGUCUUCAUGUUCAUCACACAUGUCUCGGCAUAUCAGAAAGACAAGGCUCAAGUACCAAAACUUAAUGACCAGAUAGACAAACUCACUAGGAAAACUAAGAGGCCCAAAUUCCCGAAAUUUAACAAAAAUACAAUGAUUCACGACUAAGGAGGAAACCAAUUCAAAACACAACCAUAUAUAAACAAGCAGAACAAUGGAACAUAAAACCUGAGCACGCAAAUAUGCCAAGUGAUUGGGUCAUUGCAUGGGCACAUAUCACCAAACAAAUCAUGCUGGGACACAAAGCACUAGGACAUGAUUAGGAAAAUAAACAUGUAUAUACCUACCAAAUACCUCCACUUUCAAAUUAAGAAAUGUGGGAAUUGCUGAAAGUUUAAAGUGUGAAGUUCACUAAUGAAUACUCUGUAAGGUCAAAGAAGCAGCAGACCCUUCCAGAUUAUACAAAUGAUUGUAUAGGACCCUUAUCUGUACCAGAGAACAAAUUAUGCAUGCACUUUGUAGACACAUGGUCAGGAAUAGGAUUACUCUAUCCUUGCAGGAAAAAUGAUCAGAAAUCUACCAUCAGAGCAUUAGAAAUCGGGAUUGCUUGCUAUGGUAUCCCAGUUAAAUCAGGGGCCCCACUGCAAAGGAAAGCAAGUACAAGAAUGGGCUAAGAACAAAGCAUAGUAAGAUACAAAGGACUUAACACCUACAAGUCCAACCAUGUCUGGGUCAAAUGAAAGGUGCAAUGGCUUACUCAAGCAGAAGCUGACUAAUAAGCCUGAUAUAAAAGCUUGGACGAAACCAGUCUGCGAGGUGGCAAGAUCUCUAAACCAUAAAUAUGGAAAGAAUGGAAAAACUCCUAUCGCAUUAAUACUGCAAGCACCUCUACAGAUGAGACCACUGACAAACUCCAGAAUCUAAACUAGAAGGAAAACAUUUAAAAAAACAUAAUGGUAUAUAUAUAUAUAGUACUAGGAAAAUUAUGUUACCUGCCAUCAAUACAACCUACUGGAUGACUGAAGAAAAAACUACAUUACAUCACAUUAAAGAAAAUAUGAUGAUGACUCUGAAAAUGGCAGGCAUGAGAACACCAUCUUUAUCGUAUUGACACCAGAUGCCUGAUAUUUAGCCUCGCAAGAUGGAGGGCGACUAUGCUAGAGGGAAUAUAGACAAUAACGGACGUCAUAAUGGUAGAUAUCCUUGGGUGGCAAGAACAACAAGAAGGAAUUAAAAAUGCCAAGGAAACUAUCUUUAUUUUGCAGGCAUGAAUCCACGAUGCAUCUUGAACCCUACCAAGAUUACUAACGGGUCAGUGCAGCAUGCUGCCUGCUGCCCAUACUCCGUUGCCUAUCGCUCCCUGUUGGAUACCAUAGUCAUUACAGCUGUGGAUACUCCUCUGAUGGCUCCAGCAAUAGGAGCUGUGCCAGUGUUCUGAACUGGAAUGCCACUUUCUGGUCCGGCACAACUCCACUGUCUGUGACAUCCUCCGCAUUCUCCAGAGAUCACUAGUGUAGUCACCUUAUUGCAACGGAGGACUCAUCAACAUCACCGGCAUCAACCAACCCAGCCUCUGCACCCCAUCCUUCGCUGUCCACACUAUCUACUCACCAGGAAAGCUUCAAUCAGUAGAGACACCAAAUACUUAAAUACUUAGGGAAGCUGAUGAAGCAGUGGUGACCUCCAUUUUAAUCUCCAUAAGAACCAUCAAGGAUUCUGAACAACAACUCUAUUAGACGUUGACUUGGAGGGUGAAGACUGGCCUGAACUACUAACUGGCUUUUGGUAUCAUAACCCAGCACAUAUAUUUCGUCAACCAGAAAAAGAACAAAGAUCCAUGCCUGCCCCAACAACAAUGCACCAACUACCACCUGCAGCCAAGGAGAAACUUCUGUAACCUGGAACACUUGUCCUUUUCCAGAGAACUUUAAAAAAUAAAAACCUUCUCAAUUUCCUCCAAAAACUGAAUAAAAACUGACCAUCCCUUUGUCUCUUCA